AAGGGAGACCUCCCGCUGUACCGCGUCUUAAGAACGUAGAGUAUAGACGGUCAACCUAAGGUCGUUCGAGGACUAUGUUCAAGAGGCUUUCAAACUAUCUAGGGAACGGAAAUGGGCUAUUAGCUCAGGUGGUUAGAGCGCACCCCUGAUAAGGGUGAGGUCCCUGGUUCGAAUCCAGGAUGGCCCACCAUUUAUUAUGAGGGGGUUUAGCUCAGUUGGUAGAGCGCCUGCUUUGCAAGCAGGAUGUCAACGGUUCGAGUCCGUUAACCUCCACUUGAGUCCAAUAUUUUUCCAGCACUUUAUCUCAAGGCAGUUUUGAGCCAUUGAGAAAUAAUGCUGGGUGAAUGCUCAGUUAGAACCUUGAAAACUGCAUAGUAACUUGUCAGGUAGAAACGAUGGCUAAUGAAUAGCCUUAACACGUUGUGUGGAGAGGUUGUGUUAGAAGCUAUCGUGACACAGACACCAAUGUAAAACUCAAGAAAGUUGAGAAUAGU
rnacentral:tRNA from 1 species